GAGAAUUUCAGGAAGACACUGAUAAGAACUUGUUUCUCUUGUCCCUGUUUUUGGAACCCAUUUCUUCAGGGCCCCUACCUGGCCUUGCAGGUAAUGUUAUCACAGCUGUAGCUGGACUUUGGAGUGAGUCAGCCUGGUCAGGGAAGGACUUGUUUUUCUUUUUACUUGUUUUUCUUAUAUUUCCUGCUUCAUGAGCAAGAAACAACAAGCUUUACCUUCACAGUAGAAGAGUCCAGCAGAACAAAGUUGGAAGCAGAGGGAGUGAAUCUAAACCUAUGGACAGAUUCAUCUUGGAAACCCUAAGUGAGGCUAAAGUCCUGUCAACCAUCAUCUACAUACUGUCUCCCUGAAUUUGACUAUUCCAGGGACUUCAUAUAGACAGAAUCAUGCUGUAUUUGUUCUUUUAUGUCUGGCUUAUUUUACUUAACACUGUUUUUACUGUAAGUCCAGUUGUAGCAUAUGUCAGAAUUGUAUUCUAUUUUAAGGCUGAAUAACAUUCCAUUUUAAGUAUAUUUCAUAUUUUGUUUAUCCGUUCAUCUCUUAAUGGAAAUGUGAAUUGUUUCCACCUUUUGCAGUUGUGCAUACUCUUGCCAUAAAUAUUUAUGUCCAAGGGAGAAAACAAAUUGGAAGGAGAUUUAAAGGAUUCUCAAAUACAAACUGAAGUUUUCAAGAACAGGAUCAUGAAGGACAGUAAAAAUCAGGAAUUGCCAAACUUUGUCACAAUGGCUGUACAACAUCAGUGAGCCGAAGUCAUACCACUGCAUUACAGCCCGGGCGACAGAGAAAGACUCCAUCU
rnacentral:lncRNA from 1 species